rnacentral:rRNA from 1 species
GGGCCCGCACAAGCGGCGGAGCAUGCGGAUUAAUUCGAUGCAACGCGAAGAACCUUACCUGGGUUUGACAUACACCGGAAAGCUGCAGAGAUGUAGCCCCUUUUGUCGGUGUACAGGUGGUGCAUGGCUGUCGUCAGCUCGUGUCGUGAGAUGUUGGGUUAAGUCCCGCAACGAGCGCAACCCUCGUCCUAUGUUGCCAGCAACCACUUUGGUGGGUUGGGGACUCAUGGGAGACUGCCGGGGUCAACUCGGAGGAAGGUGGGGAUGACGUCAAGUCAUCAUGCCCCUUAUGUCCAGGGCUUCACGCAUGCUACAAUGGCCGGUACAGAGGGCUGCAAUCCUGUGAGGGUGAGCGAAUCCCUAAAAGCCGGUCUCAGUUCGGAUUGGGGUCUGCAACUCGACCCCAUGAAGUCGGAGUCGCUAGUAAUCGCAGAU